GUUAAAUGAUGAGAUUUUCACUUUGUCCAUAAUACUCCUUGAUGGUACAUAACGAGCUUUUUAACCCUGAUGAUU